GACAGAGGCCUCGAGCGUUAGGCGGAAUCACUGGGCUUAAAGCGUGUGUAGGCGGAUGCCUAAGUACCUUGUGAAAUCCCACGGCUCACCCGUGGAACCGCUGGGUAUACUGGGUGUCUUGGGCCAUUCAGGGGCGACUGGAACAAGCGGUGGAGCGGUGAAAUGCGUAGAUAUCGCUUGGAACGCCGAAGGUGAAAACAGGUCGCUGGGGAUGUGCCGACGCUGAGACACGAAAGCCAGGGGAGCAAACGGG
rnacentral:rRNA from 1 species